GAAGAUGCAAAAGUUCAUCUGUGCGUUACAUUACAUAACGGUGUUUGGUGUUCCUUCGUCUCCACACCAUUCUGUAUUCUCACAUGCUCACUUCAUCGCCCAAUCCUUCCUUCAACAUCACCACUUACACUCCGCCGACCUUCCAGCAUUGAACAUGGUCGUUUCGCGUUCGUUUGGCCAACGGACACCUCGCCCUCUGCUCCUCCACCCUUCCCAACGCCCCCCUGGCCAUCCAAUCACACCAUGAGCACACCACCUUCUUCACCCUCGACCUCGAGCUCUUCAUCGUCGUCGCCAUCGUCUUCGUCGUCAUCGCGCCAUCGCGCCAUCUCUUCGUCCUCUUCACCUCGUCUUCGUCCGCCUCAACAACUAUGUCUUUCGAGAACGAGUUCCCGCUUCCGCCUCUUAACUUCCCUGCCGCCACCGACCCCGUGCCCGCGGCGCUCCCGCACCCACCACGUCCGAAGCCGCUCUUCCCUGGGAUCGAAUCUCAGAAAUCGCCGCCCAUGCUGCCAUCCGAACCUUACAGAAUCGAUCGUCAACGGCCAACCAAACCAACCAGCGCGGACGAUGGCGACAGCAGGCUCACUGUCUUCGUGCAAGCCGCAUACCGUGAAGUGCAGGCGUAGGCGGUUGGCCCACGAGGCGAGGUCGGCGUCCUUGGCAGUGGGGUUGAAGCGGGGAGCCGGUCCGCGCUGGUUGGUUUGGUUGGCCGGUGACGAUCGAUUCUGUAAGGUUCGGAUGGCAGCAUGGGCGGCGAUUUCUGAGAUUCGAUCCCAGGGAAGAGCGGCUUCGGACGUGGUGGGUGCGGGGGGCGCCGCGGGCACGGGGUCGGUGGCGGCAGGGAAGUUAAGAGGCGGAAGCGGGAACUCGUUCUCGACAUAGUUGUUGAGGCGGACGAAGAUGAGGUGAAGAGGACGAAGACGAAGUGAUGAGGGCAAAGACGAAGUGAAGAGGAUGCAGACGAUGGCACGAUAGCGCGAUGACGACGAAGACGAUGGCGACGACGAUGAAGAGCUCGGCGAGGAGGAUCACCUAGGCUCUGAUACCAAUUGAAAGAGAACCAGGCCGCUCCUAACAACUGGGAAGCGUAAGCUGACUUUACUGUCCGAUAUACUUGCGUAGGCACAGAGGAUCGGAGUUUCAACCUCAACCUAGGCUUACUAUGUUCAUAAUUUGGUCCGCUUACAUAGUCAUAUUAGCGCGCCACAACCUCACACAUCGUACACACAAGUUCAAGCUCCACUAGCUCCG
rnacentral:lncRNA from 1 species